UCCCAUGUGGCUCAGUUGGUAGAGCAUGGUGUUUGCAACGCCAAGGUUGUGGGUUUGAUUCCCACGGGGGAC
rnacentral:tRNA from 1 species